rnacentral:rRNA from 1 species
CCUACGGGAGGCAGCAGUGAGGAAUAUUGGUCAAUGGGCGUGAGCCUGAACCAGCCAAGUAGCGUGCAGGAUGACGGCCCUAUGGGUUGUAAACUGCUUUUAUGCGGGGAUAAAGUCGGCCACGUGUGGCUGUUUGCAGGUACCGCAUGAAUAAGGACCGGCUAAUUCCGUGCCAGCAGCCGCGGUAAUACGGAAGGUCCGGGCGUUAUCCGGAUUUAUUGGGUUUAAAGGGAGCGUAGGCUGGAGAUUAAGCGUGUUGUGAAAUGCCGCGGCUCAACCGUGGCCCUGCAGCGCGAACUGGUUUUCUUGAGUGCGCCGAAAGCGGGCGGAAUUUGUGGUGUAGCGGUGAAAUGCUUAGAUAUCACGAGGAACCCCGAUUGCGAAGGCAGCUCGCUGUAGCGUAACUGACGCUGAAGCUCGAAAGUGCGGGUAUCGAACAGGAUUAGAUACCCUAGUAGUC